rnacentral:rRNA from 1 species
AUUGAACGCUGGCGGCAUGCCUUACACAUGCAAGUCGAACGGUAACGCGGGGCAACCUGGCGACGAGUGGCGAACGGGUGAGUAAUGCAUCGGAACGUGCCCAGUAGUGGGGGAUAGCCCGGCGAAAGCCGGAUUAAUACCGCAUACGACCUACGGGUGAAAGGGGGGGAUCGCAAGACCUCUCGCUAUUGGAGCGGCCGAUGUCAGAUUAGGUAGUUGGUGGGGUAAAGGCCUACCAAGCCAUCGAUCUGUAGCUGGUCUGAGAGGACGACCAGCCACACUGGGACUGAGAGACGGCCCAGACUCCUACGGGAGGCAGCAGUGGGGAAUUUUGGACAAUGGGCGCAAGCCUGAUCCAGCCAUGCCGCGUGCGGGAAGAAGGCCUUCGGGUUGUAAACCGCUUUUGUCAGGGAAGAAACGCUCUGAGCUAAUACCUCGGGGUAACGACGGUACCUGAAGAAUAAGCACCGGCUAACUACGUGCCAGCCGCCGCGGUAA